ACGCUCGACACCUACGGGAGACAGCAGUGGGGAAUAUUGCACAAUGGGGGAAACCCUGAUGCAGCGACGCCGCGUGGAGGAAGAAGGUCUUCGGAUUGUAAACUCCUGUUGUUGGGGAAAAAGAGGAUGGUACCCAACAAGGAAGUGACGGCUAACUACGCGCCAGCAGCCGCGGUAAUCUGAGCGGGCUGGCAAGGC
rnacentral:rRNA from 1 species